ACGGAAGGCAGCAGUGGGGAAUAUUGGGCAAUGGGCGCAAGCCUGACCCAGCAAUGCCGCGUGAAGGAAGAAGGCUUUCGGGUUGUAAACUUCUUUUAAGUGGGACGACAAUGACGGUACCACUUGAAUAAGCUCCGGCUAACUACGUGCCAGCAGCCGCGGUAAUACGUAGGGAGCGAGCGUUAUCCGGAUUCAUUGGGCGUAAAGCGCGCGUAGGCGGCUUGCUAAGCGGAACCUCUAAUCCGAGGGCUCAACCCCCGGCCGGGUUCCGAACUGGCAGGCUCGAGUGCGGUAGGGGCAAGUGGAAUUCCAUGUGUAGCGGUGGAAUGCGCAGAUAUAUGGAAGAACACCGAUGGCGAAGGCAGCUUGCUGGGCCGACACUGACGCUGAGGUGCGAAAGCGUGGGGAGCGAACAGGAUUAGAUACCCUGGUA
rnacentral:rRNA from 1 species